rnacentral:rRNA from 1 species
UAUACCAGUUUACUGGUAUACGAAGCGAAGACAAUCACAACGGACCCAAUCAACCCCGGCUAGGGAAGAGACGGCGAGGGAAAAUCGAAUGAAGUGCUGGAGUACACGAGCGGCGGACGGCUGAGUAACGCGUAGGAACGUACCCCAAACUGAGGGAUAAGCACCAGAAAUGGUGUCUAAUACCGCAUGUGCUCUAAGGAGUAAAGCUUCGGCGGUUUGGGAACGGCCUGCGUACGAUUAGAUUGUUGGUGAGGUAAUGGCUCACCAAGUCGACGAUCGUUAGCUGGUCUGAGAGGAUGAUCAGCCAGACUGGGACUGAGAACGGCCCAGACUCCUACGGGAGGCAGCAGUAGGGAAUUUUCCACAAUGGACGAAAGUCUGAUGGAGCAACGCCG